rnacentral:rRNA from 1 species
AUUGAACGCUGGCGGCAGGCCUAACACAUGCAAGUCGAACGAGUGGCGGACGGGAGAAAAGUGUCGGGGACACUGCCCGAAGGAGGGGGAUAACUACGGAAAGCGGAAGCAAAUACCACAUACCAAGGGGUGCGCACAGAUGGGAUAAGCUAGUAGGUGGGGUAUAGGCUCACCUAGGCGACGACCCCGAGCUGGUCGGAGAGGAUGACCAGCCACACUGGAACUGAGACACGGUCCAGACUCCUACGGGAGGCAGCAGGUGGGAAUAUUGCACAAUGGGCGAAAGCCUGAUGCAGCCAUGCCGCGUGUGUGAAGAAGGCCUUCGGGUUGUAAAGCACUUUCAGCGAGGAGGCGUUACCCGCAGAAGAAGCACCGGAUAACUCCGUGCCAGCAGCCGCGGUAAUAC